GCGCCGUGCUUCCCAGUCAGGUCGGGAGCUCCCGAGCCCCAGGCGGGCGUGGCAGUCUUGGGAGUCCUGACUUUACCUUACCCGACUCGGCGCGUCUGACUUGAGAGACGGCUUCUCCGCCAUGGGUGCUCAGAUUCCCCAGGAAACUCCCCGAGGGUUUAGCAACCGCCUAGUAGGUUAUGGUAAAAGAUACUGAGAUUUAUUUAUUUAUACAAUCACUGGAUACAGUCAGAAGUGCAGGAGGGUGAGAGAAUUCGCCAGAGCCAGAGCAGGGAGCAGAGCAGGCAGAAGGACCGAAGUACACUGCUGA